CCAGGAUCAUGUCCUGGGCCGAAGGCAUCACUAAACCGCUGAGCCACCGGGCUGCCCUAAGUGCUCCUACUUGGAGAAGCCUAACAUGUGAUGGCCUAACAUGUGAUCUAUCCUGGAAAAAUGUUUCAUGUGUACCUAAAGAGAAUGUACACAUGAUGUAUUUUGAUGUUUUUGGAUGGAUUGUUCUGUAUUUAUCUGUGCUCCAACUUGGAGGAGUAUACAUAUUGCAUGGAGUCCAAUGUGGAGCUUGAAAUCACGACCCUGAGAUCAAGAUCUGAGAUGAGAU